AAUUGCAGCGGGGCUAAGGCAGAUUCCCUGUCUGCCCUGGCUCCGCACGGCUCCCAGAAAUGGCCAGGAUGUCUGGCUCCUAGGCGCAAGGUGGCCGCAGGGGAUCCUCAUGCUGCCCCCACUCUGAGUGCCAGUUCUGGAGCGGCCAAUGAGAGCUGCGGGGGAGGUGCCUGCAGGCACAGGCAGAGGCCUCUGGCUCCUCUGCCUAGGAGUCGGAUAUGCUGGCCACUUCCGAGCGCUGCAGGGAGCCUGCCUUAGCUUUGCUGCACCUUGGACCAGGAACCACCUGAGGUCUAAGGGAAUGCCAAUGAUUACAUUCUGCAGUAGACUUUGAAACUUGAUAAAGGAAAGGGUUUUGAAGCGGUAUGCCUGAUGUUAUUCUGUAAAGGGAGUAAGGUCCAGCGUCAGUCCAGUAUCUUGUGCAAUGGCAUUCCAAAGGCAGAUGUCAGCCACAGAGAGAGCCUUGCGUCCUUGACCCACUGGGAACCUCAACCGUGGGGACUGACCGCAGCUGUUCCUCAGGGUCACACACAGAGAAAUGCGGUCCCUGAUACCAUCUGGGCUUCGAAGAUCGAAACCAGGACCUUGAAGUGUAGCCAUGUAGAGUACGGGUGUACCAUGUUCUCUUCAGAGGCAAACUGUUGAAUCAUCUGAAGUUUCUCGAGGCUCAACCACUACAAGAACUUCUCCUCCCUUGUACAUUAUUUCACUGCUUUUAAUGACAGCGCCUUCUCUGCAGCUUUUUGCCACGUGAACAGCUCUCUCAUAGCCCAUCAGCUUUCAGUCUCGCUGUGGAUUUCAGCAGAGAACCUUUCCUCCCUGGCUUAUGCCUCUUGAUUGCUCUCUUCCUUUGCUUAAAAACAAAAAGAUCUCUAACUGUAUUUAAUGCUGUCUUUUGCUAUGGGAUGCAGUUAAUAUUGAAGAUGCUGUGCAGAAUAAAACUACAGUUUGUAUUUGUAAAAUUGUCAAAGGUGAAAUUUCUUUUGCUACUAAGUAACAGGAGGUGAUUUCCAACGGAUGCACUCCUUCCAGCAACUCAUUAUAGGGAAGAUGUUCUCAACUGUGUCUUAAAAAGAGGCAGC